GAUGAGGUUUAGCGUAAGAAAAGGAAUGGACUUUGAUUGUUUCAAAGAGUGUUUCUGUUCCCAAUUUUUUUUCAUUUACUUUUAAGAAAACAACAUUCAAAUAUGAUUGAAGACCAUUCCUUUGGUAUUCCUUGGUUUUAAUUUUAAUUAUUGGUAGUGUUGUUUAGUGCACCUUUUAAUUUCCCUGGAAAAACCCAACAGCCAGGCGGCUGGGUUUAACUACUGGUAGUCCAACAGACUUUUUUUUUUAUUUUAGUUUUUUUAUUCUAAUGUUUAAUCUAUUUUUGGUUUAUAUAUUUAAAGUAGCAUCAAAA
rnacentral:lncRNA from 1 species